UAGGGAAUCUUCGGCAAUGGGGGGAACCCUGACCGAGCAACGCCGCGUGAGUGAAGAAGGUUUUCGGAUCGUAAAGCUCUGUUGUUUAGGAAGAACGUGUGUGAGAAUGGAAAGUUCAUGCUGUGACGGUACUUAACCAGAAAGGGACGGCUAACUACGUGCCAGCAGCCGCGGUAAUACGUAGGUCCCGAGCGUUGUCCGGAUUUAUUGGGCGUAAAGCGAGCGCAGGCGGUUAGAAAAGUCUGAAGUGAAAGGCAGUGGCUCAACCAUUGUAGGCUUUGGAAACUGUUUAACUUGAGUGCAGAAGGGGAGAGUGGAAUUCCAUGUGUAGCGGUGAAAUGCGUAGAUAUAUGGAGGAACACCGGUGGCGAAAGCGGCUCUCUGGUCUGUAACUGACGCUGAGGCUCGAAAGCGUGGGGAGCGAACAGG
rnacentral:rRNA from 1 species